rnacentral:rRNA from 1 species
UACGUAGGGUGCAAGCGUUGUCCGGAAUUAUUGGGCGUAAAGAGCUCGUAGGCGGUCCGUCACGUCGGCUGUGAAAACCUGGGGCUCAACCCCGGGCCUGCAGCCGAUACGGGCGGACUAGAAUUCGGUAGGGGAGACUGGAAUUCCUGGUGUAGCGGUGAAAUGCGCAGAUAUCAGGAGGAACACCGGUGGCGAAGGCGGGUCUCUGGGCCGAUACUGACACUGAGAAGCGAAAGCGUGGGGAGCGAACAGG